AUACGGAGGAUGCAAGCGUUAUCCGGAUUUAUUGGGUUUAAAGGGUGCGUAGGCGGUUUGCUAAGCGGGAGGUGAAAUGCCGGCGCUCAACGUCGGAAGUGCCUCCCGAACUGGUGGACUGGAAUGACUCUGCCGUGGGAGGAAUGUGUAGUGUAGCGGUGAAAUGCUUAGAGAUUACACAGAACACCGAUUGCGAAGGCAUCUCAUGAAGGGUUGAUUGACGCUGAGGCACGAAAGCGUGGGGAUCAAACAGGAUUAGAUACACUGGUAGUCCACGCAGUAAACGAUGAUGGCUAACCGCUGGGCUUAUCAGUUCAGUGGCCAAGCGAAAGCGAUAAGCCAUCCACCUGGGGAGUACGACCGCAAGGUUGGAACUCAAAGGAAUUGACGGGG
rnacentral:rRNA from 1 species